rnacentral:lncRNA from 1 species
CUACGGAAACUGCAUAUAUAGAUCCUGAUGAUAGCGUGGCAAGGAAAAAAGCAACUACAAAAAUGCAGUUGGCCUUCUUCUAAGCCGUGGAGAAGCGUAUGCUAUAUAUAGCGUAUAAAGUAUAAUACAUUUGCAGACUUGGAAGAACUUUUCUUCUGUAAGUACGACUCAAGUGUUUUCUUUUUUAACCAUUUUCUCCUAAGUUGUGUAUGUUGGAAUUUGUAAAGGUGUUUGGAGCAAAGUUACUAUCUGUAACCUUAAUUAUAUCCCCAUUGAUGAGUGUAGUUUACUAAUUAGAAAUAGUGAGAUUAUCCAUGUUAUAAUUAGAAAUAGUGAGAUUAUCCAUCUUAUAACCUUAUUCUGGCCAUGGGGUUACAGGUUACUUCAAACAUUCGAUUGUUUGGGUUGUUCAAAUUUGAUUGACU